GUAGCACAGCUUUGGCGUUACAUCACUUGAACACCGGACACAGAUUCAAGUUUGAGGAUGUCUCUAUGUUGGAUCAAGAAAGUCAUUGGAAGAAGAGGAACAUCGGGGAAAUGUGCUUUAUUAAGAUGAAUAAUACAAUUAAUAAGAGGACGGAUACUCAAAAUUUAAGUUCUGUAUAUAAUGUAAUUUUAAAUUGUGACAGGGCCCAUAGUUUUGAUGGUACGGGUAUGUAGAUGACUGUUUUUUUUUGUGAGAACAUACAGUACAUUAUUAUCAGCUGUUAUUACCUGAGAGAAGAACUUGUAGUAUUGACAGAGUUUUAGUUAAUUAAUAUUUGUUAUUUAUUAGUUAAUGUUUAUCAAUUGAAACACGAAUAAAUGAAUUUGGAAUAUGAUGUGAAUAAGUUCAGGUUGUUAGCCUGCCUCGAUUCAUUUGACAUGUUUUUAACAAUUGAUGUUUGAUAAUUGAGCACCUGAAGAAGUCGGGAAACCGAUGAAACGUUGUGAAAAUUUAACAUAAACAUCGAAUAAAUAUUUCCAAUAAACUGUGAA